rnacentral:rRNA from 1 species
GAUCAUGGCUCAGGAUGAACGCUGGCGGCGUGCCUAACACAUGCAAGUCGAACGAAGCACUUUGAUUUGAUUCUUCGGAUGAAGAUUAUUGUGACUGAGUGGCGGACGGGUGAGUAACGCGUGGGUAACCUGCCUCAUACAGGGGGAUAACAGUUAGAAAUGACUGCUAAUACCGCAUAAGACCACAGCACCGCAUGGUGCAGGGGUAAAAACUCCGGUGGU